GAUGAACGCUGGCGGCGUGCCUAACACAUGCAAGUCGAGCGAUAACAUGAGGAGCCUUCCUUCCUUACUUUCGCGUCGCACGGGUGAGUAUCAUGUCUAUGACCCUCCUUUAAGACUGGGAUAACCUCCUGAAAACGGUACCUAUUCCCGCUUAUCUACUCAACCCCAUGGUUCAAUACUUUAAGACCGCUUUGCUUCUACUUAUCGCAGGUUCCGUGCCGCAUUAGCUAGUUGGUAAGGUCACCGCUUACCAAGGCAAUAACUCGUAGCCGACCUGAGAGGGUGAUCGGCCACACUGGAACUGAGACACGGUCCAGACUCCUACGGGAGGCAGCAGUAGGGAAUCUUCCGCAAUGGGCGAAAGCCUGACGGAGCAACGCCGCGUGAGUGAUGAAGGUCUUCGGAUCGUAAAACUCUGUUAUUAGGGAAGAACAAAUGUGUAAGUAACUAUGCACGUCUUGACGGUACCUAAUCAGAAAGCCACGGCUAACUACGUG
rnacentral:rRNA from 1 species